GAGCCAUGUGACACCAAGAACACUGCUGCAAGCAAUCCCAGUGAAACUCCCAGAGUCCAGCCUCCUGCCUCCAGGCGAGUCCAACUAAAACACAAUCUUGGCUCGAAAGAAAAAGGCAUGUUACCAUCCAACUUUGCCACUUGAAAUGAAACUAGAAAAACAUCCUGAGAACAGAGGAGAGAAGUUGAGCUCCAGUCCUUCUAUUCCGCCAUCUUAACCCCAUCUCCGGGUUCUGGCUCCUUUUAACCUUCUCCUCUCCUCAUUUCCACGUGAAGCAGCUUCAGGAGCACACAGGCAUCCAGCCGUUGCUCCAUCCCCCGGCAGCUGAUGCCCAGACAUGCGGCCACUGCGGCCGAGCCCAGGGGUCCCAGGGCUUCGGCCAGAAGAUCAAACACGCCCAGCUCACAGGCAGUGAAGAGAACCAGUUACGGAAACAAGGAGAUCAUUUAGAAUUAAACUGAUAUUUAUAUGCAGAAGAAAAUUGGAUACAUUAAAUCUCUAGGAUGCAGUUUGGACAACAAUGGGAAUAAUCAAUCUAAUGACUUCCUUUGAACAAUUAACUCCGAAAUGGAGGGAAGAAAGAUAAUUGGUUACUGGGACCUCUGUGACACCCCAUGCUAAGGAAAAGGAAUAUGAAGUAAAAAAGGAAUACCAAAAAAUAGAAGCUGAUAUAAAGAUGAAUGAAGAAUUCCUGGUAUUUUGGCUAAUAUUUCUCUGAAAAAGAGAGCGGCAAGAAACAUGAGGAAAUGGAGAAAAAGAGGAGGCAUUAUUAGGUAAAAUACAAGAAAGAUGAGAAGGAAGUUAAGAGGAUUAAACAUAUCCUUUAGCAAGAACCGAAAGUAUUAUCAAAAAGUUUUUAUCAUCUGAGGCUACGACCAGAGAAAAGCAAAAGCAGAAGAGAUCAAUUUGAGAUAUAUUACCCUGGUUAUUGCCUACAUCUUAGCAACACGGGAUCCAGGCAGUGUCUGCAACCUACACCACAGC